rnacentral:lncRNA from 1 species
CGCAGCCCAGGGCGCCUCAGCUCGAGCGCCGGCCGCCGACCGCGUGCAGCCCGGCCGCCGCAUGGGACCGGACGCCGCCGAAGAGGACGACGCGGGCAGCGAGCCCCUUCGCCAGGGCCCCUGCACCGUGAACUGACGACGACCAUAAGCGUGGAACUCUUGUCCGACUCUUCGGAGAGGUCGCCCGUACCGCACGCAGCGAGAGACACCGCCGCGAAAAAGUUUUGACGCCCCGUGGUUCACGACACGUUCGCCGCUGGUGGGACGUUCCGGCGAGGUGAUGCACCGCGGGCGCGCAAUGACGCUAUGUGACUGCUUGUGGCAUAGCGAAGUGACUGAGUGACACCGGUCUGGCACCGUGCGACAAACCUGCCGCGGGAGCCGAGAACUUGCCUUCGCCCUUGCAAGGGGAGACACGACGAGACAGCUGAGUAAAUUUGUGUUGCGUGCGCGACCCAGCCCAUCGCACAGCGGCGAGAGGAAAACUUAUUUUCUCGGAUUCCUCGACCCUGUUCUUUUUCUUCUUCUCUUUAUUUUUUUUUUUUUUUUGCCUCGUCACUUACGCGAUUGUUUUGCACGCUUCUGGCUUUCGGACUUGUUUUAUAUUCUUUGCUUUUUUGCGUGAUCCUUCGAACUGACUCGACCAAGAUGCUUGGACUGUGAGACUUCUAAGUGCUGCGGCGCAUCGGUCACAGAAGUCUUGGAACGGAAGGAGCAGUCCCGCAGUCUCAGCAGGUUCCGCACUGCUUCGCAUUUCUGACGGCUGUUCGCCCGGCUGCCUACCGCCAAGCACCAUAUAACUCCCAAGAAUUUCUUAUGAGGCCCGGAUAGCGCUGCCGGGGCACGAGGAGGAGGCCAGCCUGCAGCCGCUACGCGGGAUCGGCCCUCGAGUCCAGCUGAUCGAAGCUUACGUGGCUUCUGCAAACUUGGACGCCUAUAGUCGCCGCAUCCCUCCGUGAAUCCAUGGGAGGUGGCCGCACCAAACUCACCUAACAUGAGAACCUGGCCGUCUGCUUGCUUCGAGGUGUGACCCUGAAAUGCAUGACGGGCUUCCGUCUGACAAUCACAGCCCUUCAACGUCAUCACAACCACCCUGGCGGUUGUCUUGCUGGACCCAU